rnacentral:rRNA from 1 species
AACGUUAAUCGGGGCAGGGUGAGUCGGCUCCUAAGGUGAGGCUGAAAAGCGUAGUCGAUGGGAAACAGGUUAAUAUUCCUGUACUUGGUAAAGCUGCGAUGUGGGGACGGAGUAGGUUAGGUUAUCGCACUGUUGGAUAUGUGCGUUUAAGUUGGUAGGUGGGAAGUUUAGGCAAAUCCGGACUUCCUUAACACAGAGAGAUGAUGACGAGGCUCUACGGAGCUGAAGUAACUGAUACCACACUUCCAGGAAAAGCCACUAAGCGAAAGGCUUUACUAAACCGUACUGAAAACCGACACAGGUGGUCAGGUAGAGAAUACUCAGGCGCUUGAGAGAACUCGGGUGAAGGAACUAGGCAAAAUAGCACCGUAACUUCGGGAGAAGGUGCGCCGGCGUAGAUUGUAAGGGCUAGCCCCUGAAGGUUGAACCGGUCGAAGAUACCAGCUGGCUGCAACUGUUUAUUAAAAACACAGCACUCUGCAAACACGAAAGUGGACGUAUAGGGUGUGAUGCCUGCCCGGUGCUGGAAGGUUAAUUGAUGGUGUCAUCGAAAGAGAAGCACCUGAUCGAAGCCCCAGUAAACGGCGGCCGUAACUAUAACGGUCCUAAGGUAGCGAAAUUCCUUGUCGGGUAAGUUCCGACCUGCACGAAUGGCAUAAUGAUGGCCAGGCUGUCUCCACCCGAGACUCAGUGAAAUUGAAAUCGCCGUGAAGAUGCGGUGUACCCGCGGCUAGACGGAAAGACCCCGUGAACCUUUACUAUAGCUUGACACUGAACAUUGAAUUUUGAUGUGUAGGAUAGGUGGGAGACUUAGAAGCAGUCACGCCAGUGAUUGUGGAGUCAUCCUUGAAAUACCACCCUUUAACGUUUGAUGUUCUAACGAAGAUGACGAAACGUGGUCUCGGACAGUGUCUGGUGGGUAGUUUGACUGGGGCGGUCUCCUCCCAAAGCGUAACGGAGGAGCACGAAGGUUUGCUAAUGACGGUCGGACAUCGUCAGGUUAGUGCAAUGGUAUAAGCAAGCUUAACUGCGAGACAGACAAGUCGAGCAGGUACGAAAGUAGGUCAUAGUGAUCCGGUGGUUCUGAAUGGAAGGGCCAUCGCUCAACGGAUAAAAGGUACUCCGGGGAUAACAGGCUGAUACCGCCCAAGAGUUCAUAUCGACGGCGGUGUUUGGCACCUCGAUGUCGGCUCAUCACAUCCUGGGGCUGAAGUAGGUCCCAAGGGUAUGGCUGUUCGCCAUUUAAAGUGGUACGCGAGCUGGGUUUAGAACGUCGUGAGACAGUUCGGUCCCUAUCUGCCGUGGGCGUAGGAUGAUUGAUUGGGGCUGCUCCUAGUACGAGAGGACCGGAGUGGACGCAUCACUGGUGUUCCAGUUGUCUCGCCAGAGGCAUUGCUGGGUAGCUAAAUGCGGAAGAGAUAAGUGCUGAAAGCAUCUAAGCACGAAACUUGCCAAGAGAUGAGUCAUCCCUGACUUUAAGUCAGUAAGGGUUGUUGUAGACUACGACGUAGAUAGGUCUGGUGUGUAAGUGUAGUGAUACAUUGAGCUAACAGAUACUAAUUGCCCGAGAGGCUUAACUAU